GCAUUACUGUUUCACUUCUCUCCUAUUCUUGCCUGCUUGGAACCAUCGGCUGGUUUAAUAUUCUCAUUUGAUCUAAAUCAUCCUUUUUUCAUUUUCUUUCAGAAUGUACCAAACAACCAAACUACAGCUGGAAAGCCGUGUGCCUUACCUGCUAACUUCAUCCACGGACUCAAACUUCAGCCAUGCUACACUGAGUCCAAAAUCGAUCAAAUCCAGACACACAUGGAUCAUUUGGAAAAUAGAAUGGAAGUAGCUGGAAAGUGUUCGGAGCUGAUGGAAAUCUAUUGCUCAAAGAGCGCAAACUCUGGUCCCAUCGCUUCCCUGGAUGUCUUCCAAGCCAAGAUGAAAGUCGUGCUGGAGCAGUACAUGGCUAGGUUAUUAAGCUAAGGAACCGGACCAGUCUGGACCCGUAAUCCAGAGAGGAAGCACACCUGGAGCUUCUCCAUCCUGCUAAUCUUUAAAAAUGUGGACGCUUGCUGCAGGGCCUCUAUAUGUUUUAUUAUAUCAGUGAAAGACACUUAAGAAGGUUUUCUUUUGAUUUUUUUUUCCUCCUGGACACUUUUAAAAUGAUCUUUCAGACUAACAGUUAAAAUCCUUUUUCUAUCUGGUUCUAACCAUCAGUCCAGUUUCCCCAUUAUUCAUUCAGUCAGAACCAAUUUGGACGGAAAGGUUCUGAUCCAACAACUAAUCUCAGAAUCGGUCUAAAAUUGAUCAGUGCUCUAUUCUACUAAACCAGGAUUGUGUUGCUUCAAAAAGCUAAAGUUUGUCAAACACUAUGUGUCUAUAAAACAGUACAAAUGUAACAUGGAAUUAAUGAAGUUGAUUAUGAUUUAUUUUAUGAUUUAAUUUUACUUAUUAUUUAUAUUAUUUAUGAUUAAUUUAUCAGCUCAGUGUAGAAUCAUAUUGACUUGUUUACCUUUGUUUGGUUUUGUUUAUUUAUAUUUGUUAAACAUGUAUGAUUUAAUCAUGUGUCUGAAUGUCAACAUCAUACUGAUGUUUUGAGACAAAGAUCCCAUUCUAUGUCAGAUUUAAC